GAUGAACGCUGGCGGCGUGCCUAAUACAUGCAAGUAGAACGCUGAAGCUUGGUGCUUGCACCGAGCGGAUGAGUUGCGAACGGGUGAGUAACGCGUAGGUAACCUGCCUCUUAGCGGGGGAUAACUAUUGGAAACGAUAGCCAAUACCGCAUAAAAGUCGAUAUCGCAUGAUAUUGAUUUGAAAGGUGCAAUUGCAUCACUAAGAGAUGGACCUGCGUUGUAUUAGCUAGUUGGUGAGGUAACGGCUCACCAAGGCGACGAUACAUAGCCGACCUGAGAGGGUGAUCGGCCACACUGGGACUGAGACACGGCCCAGACUCCUACGGGAGGCAGCAGUAGGGAAUCUUCGGCAAUGGGGGCAACCCUGACCGAGCAACGCCGCGUGAGUGAAGAAGGUUUUCGGAUCGUAAAGCUCUGUUGUAAGAGAAGAACGAGUGUGAGAGUGGAAAGUUCACACUG
rnacentral:rRNA from 1 species